rnacentral:rRNA from 1 species
GAUGAACGCUGGCGGCGUGCCUAAUACAUGCAAGUCGAGCGAACAGACGAGGAGCUUGCUCCUUCGACGUUAGCGGCGGACGGGUGAGUAACACGUAGGUCACCUACCUAUCAGACUGGGAUAACUUCGGGAAACCGGCGCUAAUACCGGAUAAUAUUUCGAACCGCAUGGUUCGAUAGUGAAAGAUGGCUUUGCUAUCACUUAUAGAUGGACCUGCGCCGUAUUAGCUAGUUGGUAAGGUAACGGCUUACCAAGGCAACGAUACGUAGCCGACGUGAGAGGGGGGUCGGCCACACUGGAACUGAGACACGGUCCAGACUCCUGCGGGAGGCAGCAGUAGGGAAUCUUCCGCAAUGGGCGAAAGCCUGACGGAGCAACGCCGCGUGAGUGAUGAAGGUCCUCGGAUCGUAAAACUCUGUUAUUAGGGAAGAACAAACGUGUAAGUAACUGUGCACGUCUUGACGGUACCUAAUCAGAAAGCCACGGCUAACUACGUG